GGGGGGGGUUCCUCCAGGUCCGAGCAAAAGGCUGAAUUCCUGAAAUGACUCGAACCGAAGACGAGGAGGAGGAAGAGGAGGAGGAUGAAGCGUCAUGUGGAGAUUCCAGAUCAUCUGAGCUGGAAGUUUAUUCGCUGCUUUGAAGUCUGAACUCCUGGCAGAUGAACAGAACCUCCUCAGACGGGUCGGAACCACAACACCGGGCCUCGUCUCUAAAACCUCGGCUCAUCCCGGAUUCCUGAAUCCUGAGCGUCGGGAAGCUUCAGGCUGGAGAAACGUUGGUCUCCUCAGCUGAGCGGCUCCAGCUGUGCCGGCCCAGUAAUCUCCACACUUCCCAGUUUCCCACGCUGAGCUCAUUCCAGAGCCGCUAAACAAUGCCGAGUCCGGAGCAGAUGACUCCCGGCCGCCCCCUCCCCCGCCGCCCUGGGUUCGCGCUCAGAUUGGUGUAAUUUACAGCAGCUGGCAGGAAAACAGGACUGGUUGGGAAACACGCUUUUCCCACACAGAUCCAGGGCUCCUGAAGGGGUCAUAGAUUCAGAACCACUGGAUGAGUUCUGCUCCAUUUGAUGGAGAAUCUUCAGAUGUGAGACUUUAUUCACUGAAACAUGUUUAUUAUUUUCUUUUUUGACCUUUUUGCAAAGUUAAAACACAAAGCCGAGUUCUCCUACACAUGAUGCAGACCAUAAACGCCUCAUUCGUUAUCCAGACUGUCCUGAAGCCGAUGACAUCACUGAAACAUGUCUGAAUAAAAACCUGCUUUUGUUCCCUUUAA